GCUGGGCGCGGUGGCUCACGCCUGUAAUCCCAGCACUUUGGGAGGCCGAGGCUGGAGGAUCGCUUGAGCCCAGGAGUUCUAGACUAGCGUGGGCAACAAAGUGAGACCCCGUCUCUA
ensembl:misc_RNA Metazoa_SRP Metazoan signal recognition particle RNA